AAGUCGUAACAAGGUCUCCGUUGGUGAACCAGCGGAGGGAUCAUUACUGAGUACCUACACUCUCUACCCUUUGUGAACUAUUAUACCUGUUGCUUCGGCGGCGCCCGCAAGGGUGCCCGCCGGUCUCAUCAGAAUCUCUGUUUUCGAACCCGACGAUACUUCUGAGUGUUCUUAGCGAACUGUCAAAACUUUUAACAACGGAUCUCUUGGCUCCAGCAUCGAUGAAGAACGCAGCGAAACGCGAUAUGUAAUGUGAAUUGCAGAAUUCAGUGAAUCAUCGAAUCUUUGAACGCACAUGGCGCCUUCCAGUAUCCUGGGAGGCAUGCCUGUCCGAGCGUCGUUUCAACCCUCGAGCCCCUGUGGCCCGGCGUUGGGGAUCUGCCACGGCAGGCCCCUAAAACCAGUGGCGGACCCGAAGGGCCCUCUCCUUUGCGCAGUAGCAUUCGCCUCGCAUCGGGAGUCCUCGGCGUCCUGCCUCUAAACCCCCCACAAGCCCGCUUCGGCGGCACCAAGGUUGACCUCGGAUCAGGUAGGAAUACCCGCUGAACUUAA
rnacentral:rRNA from 1 species